GUUUAUUUUAUUUAGCUAACACUAACAUGUGUACUUAAUGGUCACAGAUUAUAUUACAGUAGGGGUAGGUACAGUAAUUGCACUAGUUAUAUAAUGGAUGUAUGCGCUAUUUAUGUAGCAUUAACAGACGUACUUACAUUAAAGUGCAGUGAAUGUACUAGUUAUAGUUGUGAUGGCUGAGAUACAAUAGAUAUGUAGACAUUAUGAAAGAUGGUUAAAGUCUGAUUAUGGCUCUCAAAAGGCUUUCUCCAUUGAUGACUUGUGAACAAUUUUCUCUUUCAAUGUUCAUGCCUGCAUUAUCACAUCCAAAAACAGGCUACAGGUACUCACUGGGGUCAAAGCAACUUUAUUGGGCUUUAUUGGAUCAUCACAUACAGAACAGCAUUUGGACUUUAACAAAGGUCUUUGUUUAGGUCAAAACGUUACGCUGUAUGUGGUGAUAUAAUAACAUUGCUUAGCACCUUGAUCCAAGUGAGUGCCUGAAGCUCUCUGGAUGCAACAUUUGGAAGAGAUUUGUUGGUCCUGCUUCAGUUCAGCACCGUGUGGCCAGGGCCAGACUAAAAGCCCUUUGGGCCUGGUG